GACAGAGGUGCCAAGCGUUAGGCGGAAUCACUGGGCUUAAAGCGUGUGUAGGUGGAUGUCUAAGUACCUUGUGAAAUCCCACGGCUCAACCGUGGAACUGCUUGGUAUACUGGACGUCUUGAGCCACUUAGGGGCUACCGGAACAAAUGGUGGAGCGGUGAAAUGCGUAGAUAUCAUUUGGAACGCCAAUGGUGAAAACAGGUAGCUGGGAGUGUGCUGACACUGAGACACGAAAGCCAGGGGAGCGAACGGG
rnacentral:rRNA from 1 species